rfam:Chelonia mydas contig252094, whole genome shotgun sequence.
GCCCCAGUGGCCUAAUGGAUAAGGCAUUGGCCUCCUAAGUUAGGGAUUGUGAUUUCAAGACCCACCUGGGGUG